UGCAGUAGAACGCACAGGAUGCACCGUAGUUUGCUACACCGUAUUCUGUGAGUUGCGAACGGGUGAGUAACGCGUAGGUAACCUGCCUGGUAGCGGGGGAUAACUAUUGGAAACGAUAGCUAAUACCGCAUAAGAACAUUUAAUGCAUGGUAGAUGUUUAAAAGGUGCAAAUGCAUCACUACCAGAUGGACCUGCGUUGUAUUAGCUAGUAGGUGAGGUAACGGCUCACCUAGGCGACGAUACAUAGCCGACCUGAGAGGGUGAUCGGCCACACUGGGACUGAGACACGGCCCA
rnacentral:rRNA from 1 species